GACGAACGCUGGCGGCGUGCUUAACACAUGCAAGUCGAACGGAAAGGCCCUGCUUUUGUGGGGUGCUCGAGUGGCGAACGGGUGAGUAACACGUGAGUAACCUGCCCUUGACUUUGUGAUAACUUCAGGAAACUGGGGCUAAUACCGGAUAGGAGCUCCUGCUGCAUGGUGGGGGUUGGAAAGUUUCGGCGGUUGGGGAUGGACUCGCGGCUUAUCAGCUUGUUGGUGGGGUAGUGGCUUACCAAGGCUUUGACGGGUAGCCGGCCUGAGAGGGUGACCGGCCACAUUGGGACUGAGAUACGGCCCAGACGCCUACGGGAGGCAGCAGUGGGGAAUAUUGCACAAUGGGCGGAAGCCUGAUGCAGCAACGCCGCGUGCGGGAUGACGGCCUUCGGGUUGUAAACCGCUUUCGCCUGUGACGAAGCGUGAGUGACGGUAAUGGGUAAAGAAGCACCGGCUAACUACGUG
rnacentral:rRNA from 1 species